CUCCUCCUCCUCCUCCUCCUCCCGAGGUUGACCUGACCGACACCGCACUACAGCAGGAGCGUUGCUACGGAAACCAUGAUGUGUACACUGUUUCUAAAUGUUCUUCAUUUUGUUUUAGGUUUGUUUUGCUUUCUUUUUUUUUUUAGAGAGAGAGCGAGAGAGAAAAACUGACAAAAAAACUAAAGAUGUUUAUAUAUAUGAUUGUUUUAAUUUGAACUGGUAUAUUUUAUUAAACGUGAAAACAUGGAAUCCCCCCCCACACCACUACCAUCGUCAACCAUUCCCGAUGACACACACACACAGACAAGUUCACGUAUUCACAAACCUUUGGUCUAUAGGGAAGUUAGUGUUUUGUUUAGCUUGUUCAUUGGUCAGAAAGUCCAAGUGUAUCUUGAUGUUAGUCUACAUCCUAGUGAGGUUCAGACAGAUAGGUCAAGAGAGAGGGAGAGAGGGAGAGAGAUGGGUGAGUCCAGCCAAUGAGAAGAAAGAAAAUAUCUAAGGGUGCUGCGGUUGUCCGUUUGCGUUGAAUCAGUGUUACGAACGCCUGGUGGGAUACUUAAUCAAAGGGAAAGGUGCAAUGCUAACCUUAGAGAAGAAUAUAUACGAUUGAAAGUAGUUCCUGUGUAACCCUUUCAGGAACACGUUUAUCAAAUCUGCGGGUCUUACUGUGUUGACAUUUUUCUUGUAUAAUCAGUCAAGGUGCUAAAUAACGGAGGCCAACUGGCACACAGUUAAAAUGACAGAAUAUUUGAGCUCCCAAGACCCCCCAAAAACACCCAGGCCUACGCCGCAGUGUGACCCCAUCCAUGACCUAGCUGGGCCUUAAAAGAAGUAACGCACCAAAAAAGAAUUGUGCAAUGAACUGUACUGUAGUCAUAUUUUUGUACCGAUUGCCCAAAUAGGAAGAAAACCUGAUCCGUGAAACGAAUCCUAUGGCAUCCUGUUGUGUCCGACACUGCACUAGUUGUUAAUCUCAUUUAGUAUUGGAGGGUACAGAUGUGGCCCACUCACCUUCUCAAGCCGAGGCCAAGUAAAAGCAAGUGAUAGAACAGGGUUUUUUGCAGAGUGUUUCUUCAAUGUGAAAACCACCGGUCACUGUCGGGUUCUGAACCAAAGCCCAGGCCGCUACAACCCGCCCAGGCCAUCUACAAGACUGUGCCAGGGAAUUAGAGAUGUACGUUCUUAAUGUGCCGGUAAAUCGGUUAUGCGGACCGGAAUGGAAGGGAGUGGCUUGCGUCAGUUGGUUGCAGACCGGUGCGGUGGCCAGUAAUGCUCUGCGUUCAUAUUACAGCAAGGCCGUUUGGAUUAGAAAAGGUAGCCAGGAUGUGAUGGAUAUAAUGUCUUGGGACCUUGUUAUUUUGCUACCUUACCUCUAUCACUCGGAAGUCAUUAGUCUCACGUGUCUAGGAAUCACAGCGGCCUGAGCUUCACGGAAGCCUAACACAAACAUUUGAUAUACUUUUUCAUUUCUGGCUGUCGGGUCGUUUGCCUGAAAGCGGUGGGGGCCAUAUUUGGUUAUGGGAUCCAGACCUUUACCCUGUACGUCCCAAGUAUUCAACAGCUGGAACACCUCUGAAGAUCUCCCGUCUCUGAUAUCUGUUAGACUGCCAUUGUUUCUGUGUAAACCCCCCCCGCCCCCACCACCACCACCACACCAGGCUGCAGUGGAAACACACACACACACACACAGUCCCCCCCAGACUAAUAAACCACUGCACCGUCCUUGUCAGAUCCCCACGCAGACCCCAUCUUACAUCUUAAUAAAUGUGCCUUUUGAUUUGAUUAAUCAAAAACCUAUGAUUUCUGAAGUAACUGUGUUUAAGUACUUUUUGUUUUCUCCUUUCUGGGUUAUUGAUUUCUGCCGAUGUGCAUAUUUUCCAAAUGUACGUAUUUAUUAGUUGGAAAGUAAUUGAUGAGAUAUGAGCUGUUUAUUUAUUUGAGAUAUUUAUUCUGAUUCUUUCUUUCUUGGAGACAGGUUUUUAAUCUUGUGUGCCGUCUUACUUCUGACUUUGUGCCAAUGUGCUGCUUUGAGGUGUUACAUAUCGUGGGUUUGUAUCAUUAUUAAACCCCCACUCUAUAUUUUAAAUGACGUGUCUUCCCUUGCUCGCUGCCUUGUGUGUGUGCGUGUGUGUGUGUUGAUGGAGCAGGUCACAUUUUAACUUGAGGCUGACAUACCAUGUCUAACCCUGCUCGCUUCAUUGAGUGUCUGCUUUGUGUCUGCUUUGUGUGUGUUAGUGUGUGUGUGUGUGUGUGUGUGUGUGUGUGUGUGUGUGUGUGUUUGGAAUCAUUUGAACCCUGGCCUGAAAUACCAAUCCUGAACCAAGUUACAAAUUGUAAUUUUC
ensembl:lncRNA